ACCAAGUGGCCUAAAUGCCCUGCAGAACCUGAUCCCAUCUGAUCUUGGAAGCUAAGCAGGUUUUUAUAGUUCUUGUAUGGGAAGCCAUAAACAAAUACCACUUGAUG
rnacentral:rRNA from 1 species